UUAAAGUUAAGUGAUCAAUUGAGAGAGGUAAAGAGAGAAACACCACACAUUUACAUACCUGACAAAUUCAAUAAUAGUUACAAUUUUAAGAUUUAUUUCUUAUAGAAAUAACAAUAUGUCUCAAAUUUACAAAUUGAUUUAUGCUUUGGUUAUUCUUUUUUUUCUCUUUCAUAUUGGAACGAAUGGCAUAGGUCAACAACUUAUUAAUGGUCUCUGUUGGGAUGACGCUGGAUGUCAAUCAUUUGUGUGUCAAUUUCCUAUGGAAAUUAAACUAUGUGAAUAUUAUUUUUGUAAGUGCACAUUAAACCCAUAUUAUUAAGUCGAAAAAUAAUAACAUUGUAAUAUUGGUGUAAGCGUAAGAUUUUAUUUGUAUGUCAUAAUGUUGGUACUAUUGUAAUUUUCCUAACUCUUUGUUUUAUGUUUCUUAACCUUAAAAUUUAUCGGAAAUAGAAAAAAACAUCAAAAUUUCAUUGAUGAA